AAUUGUCUUUUAAAUCUCUGAAUUACACAGACUACAGGAAGAUGAAGAACCAGAAGACUGCAGCAAAAAUAAGUGACCCAGGAAGAAGACCUCCAGAGGACUGCAGCAAGUCACUCUCCAUUGAAGACAUCAAGCCAGCAGCAGAGAAGAAGAACAACAGCAGACUCAGGAUGAAGAGCUCUACGAAGACGGCCGCCUAUG